GAGGCUGUGGCUCAGUGGUAGAGCAUGUGCUUGGCAUGCAGAAUGCCCCAAAUUCAAUCCCUGGCAUCUUCA
rnacentral:tRNA from 1 species